rnacentral:rRNA from 1 species
AUUGAACGCUGGCGGCAUGCCUUACACAUGCAAGUCGAACGGCAGCACGGGUGCUUGCACCUGGUGGCGAGUGGCGAACGGGUGAGUAAUACAUCGGAACAUGUCCUGUAGUGGGGGAUAGCCCGGCGAAAGCCGGAUUAAUACCGCAUACGAUCUACGGAUGAAAGCGGGGGACCUUCGGGCCCCGCGCUAUAGGGUUGGCCGAUGGCUGAUUAGCUAGUUGGGGGGGUAAAGGCCUACCAAGGCGACGAUCAGUAGCUGGUCUGAGAGGACGACCAGCCACACUGGGACUGAGACACGGCCCAGACUCCUACGGGGGGCAGCAGUGGGGAAUUUUGGACAAUGGGCGAAAGCCUGAUCCAGCAAUGCCGCGUGUGUGAAGAAGGCCUUCGGGUUGUAAAGCACUUUUGUCCGGAAAGAAAUCCUUGGCUCUAAUACAGUCGGGGGAUGACGGUACCGGAAGAAUAAGCACCGGCUAACUACGUG